rnacentral:rRNA from 1 species
UACGACUACAUAUCAGGCAUAUCAAUAAGCGGAGGAAAAGAAACUAACAAGGAUUCCCUUAGUAACGGCGAGUGAAGCGGGAAGAGCUCAAAUUUGAAAUCUUCAAGGUUCUACCUUGACGAAUUGUAGUUUAAAGAAGUGUUUUCUGUUAGAUGAGUAGCAAAAGUUCCUUGGAAUGGGACAUCAUAGAGGGUGAGAAUCCCGUAUUUGGUUAUUCAUUCUAGCUUUGUGAUACACUUUCAAAGAGUCGGAUUGUUUGGGAAUGCAGUCCAAAAUGGGUGGUAAAUUUCAUCUAAAGCUAAAUGUUGGCGAGAGACCGAUAGCGAACAAGUACCGUGAGGGAAAGAUGAAAAGAACUUUGAAAAGAGAGUUAAACAGUACGUGAAAUUGUCAAAAGGGAAGCGUUUGACACCAGUGUUGUUUUUCCGAAAAUCAAUUACGAAUGGCUUGAUUUUGUGUUGUAUUGACCUUAUCAGCUUUCUGCACUUUUUUCGAGUCUUUCUUAAUGCACUUUUCGGUUAACAAGUCAACAUCAAUUUCUUUUGUUGUAAAAGAGUAUUCGGAAGGUGGCCUUUCUUUUCGGAGAAAGUGUUUAUAGCCCUAUACUUCUACAAUCGGAGAGAUUGAGGUCUGCAGCGUAGAUCCUUCGGGGUUAGAUACACUUGUGCUAAGUUGUAGCUUUUCAUAGACAACUUGUUGACUAUGUUUAGUCAUGCGGCUUACUCGCUUAUGCUAUUUUACCUACGCUUAGGAUGUUGAGUAGCGACAUACGCAC